GACGAACGCUGGCGGCGUGCUUAACACAUGCAAGUCGUACGGUAAGGCCCUUUCGGGGGUACACGAGUGGCGAACGGGUGAGUAACACGUGAGUAACCUGCCCACAACUUUGGGAUAACGCUAGGAAACUGGUGCUAAUACUGGAUAUGUGCUCCUGCUGCAUGGUGGGGGUUGGAAAGCUCCGGCGGUUGUGGAUGGACUCGCGGCCUAUCAGCUUGUUGGUGGGGUAGUGGCCUACCAAGGCGGCGACGGGUAGCCGGCCUGAGAGGGUGACCGGCUACAUUGGGACUGAGAUACGGCCCAGACUCCUACGGGAGGCAGCAGUGGGGAAUAUUGCACAAUGGGCGCAAGCCUGAUGCAGCAACGCCGCGUGCGGGAUGACGGCCUUCGGGUUGUAAACCGCUUUCAGCAGGGACGAAGCUUUUUGUGACGGUACCUGCAGAAGAAGCACCGGCUAACUACGUG
rnacentral:rRNA from 1 species